rnacentral:lncRNA from 1 species
GGUUUGCUAUUUUUAAGAAAGCAAACGGCUUUGGAGUCUUGGAACAGCAUCCCCUCACUUGUCCCCUUCUCUACUUCCCUGAAGUCCCUAAAAGGCUAAGCUUCCUGCCCACCCACUGAGGGUCUACCUGAGGAGGUCUAGACUUGCCUGCAAAGAAGGUAGCCUUGAGGGUAAGAGUGGAAAGAUGAAUAGCCCUUAUUCAUCGGCCUUCCUCACCCCCUUCUCUUGACUCUAGCUGUUGGCUUCUGUGUGACUAGGGAGAUCAGAGACCACUCACAGAGGCCUGACCAAGAGAGAAGCUAACACAAAGGAGACCAAGGAUGAGAAUCCUGAACUCUUAGCCCCUCUUUUUCCUUCAGUGGGUUUGUUGUCACUUUCAACCAAAAUAUUCCUAACGCAGACUUAUCAUACAGCAAGGCUCUGUCCUGUUCUGUCCCUGCUUACUUCAACCUCAUCUGGGUCACUCCACCCGCAGCUCCACAUUCCAACUAUUGGCAAGGUCUUCAGGAUCCUUGAACAUUUUAUCCGUGCCAUCCCCCACACUUCAGGGACUUAAAUGCAUAGCUCUCUUUGGCUCUUUUAUAACCCAUGUUCCCCCUAAUCACCUUCUACUUAACUUUGAGCAUUUGGCAGGAAUGUCAAUUCCUCAAGGAAGCUGCGCUUGACCAAGGACUAGAUCAGAUACCUUGUUAUAUGUUUCCAGAGCAUAUCCAAUGAAUAAAUGAAUCCACCUGAGGCAGUGGCUGCCUCUCUAGAUUAUGAAUCAACACAGUCCCUAAGGGCUCAACAGGUAAGGAAAAGGGCUAGUACUGGACUGACACUUUUUAAUGUGCAGGGAAAAUUCCUUUCUAAAAGCUCAGCUAGGGGCCAGGAGAGGUGACUCAAGCCCAUAAUCUCAGCACUUUCUAAGGCUGAGGCAGAAGGAUCACUUGAGCACAGGCAUUUGAAACCAGCCUGGGCAACAUAAUGGGAUCAUGUGUGUACAAAAAGUUUAAAAAUUAGUCGGGCAUGAUGGUGUGUGCCUAUAGUCCCAGCUACUCGAGAAGCUGAGGUAGGAAGAUCACUUAAGCCAGGGAGGUCGGGGCUGCAGGUUGGGGUGUGAUGGCGCCACUGCACUCCAGCCUGGGCAAUGAAGCAAGACCCCAUUUCAAAAACUAAACAAAUAAAUAAAAGCUCAGCUAAAAACAAUGUAUUUACCAUGUCCCCAGGUCAUGGAAUUAAGGGAAGAAGCAGAAAAGUUCUAGAAGAGGACUGAAGGAGGAGGACUACAGACCCGAUGAUGCACAUGGAAAUUGGUGUAAAUCUGCACCACUUGCUCUGGGACAUGCGCAUGUGUAAACGCACAAUAAUCUCUUAAGAAUUAAAGAAAUUGGCCGGGCGCGGUGGCUCAAGCCUGUAAUCUCAGCACUUUGGGAGGCCGAGACGGGCGGAUCACGAGGUCAGGAGAUCGAGACCAUCCUGGCUAACACGGUGAAACCCCGUCUCUAUUAACAAAUACAGAAAACUAGCCGGGCGAGGUGGCGGGCGCCUGUAGUCCCAGCUAGUCGGGAGGCUGAGGCCGGAGAAUGGCGUGAACCCGGGAGGCGGAGCUUGCAGUGAGCUGAGAUCCGGCCACUGCACUCCAGCCUGGGUGACAGAGCGAGACUCCGUCUCAAAAAAAAAAAAA